UCCUGACAGUGGCAUACUGCUACUGACUUAACCCAGACAGGAGAUAGACAUG
rnacentral:sRNA from 12 species